GAUGAACGCUGGCGGCGUGCUUAACACAUGCAAGUCGAACGGAAAGGCCCAAGCUUGCUUGGGUACUCGAGUGGCGAACGGGUGAGUAACACGUGGGUGAUCUGCCCUGCACUUCGGGAUAAGCCUGGGAAACUGGGUCUAAUACUGGAUAGGACCACUUCUUGGAUGUUGUGGUGGAAAGUUUUUUCGGUGUGGGAUGAGCUCGCGGCCUAUCAGCUUGUUGGUGGGGUAAUGGCCUACCAAGGCGUCGACGGGUAGCCGGCCUGAGAGGGUGUACGGCGACAUUGGGACUGAGAUACGGCCCAGACUCCUACGGGAGGCAGCAGUGGGGAAUAUUGCACAAUGGGCGCAAGCCUGAUGCAGCGACGCCGGGGGGGGGAUGACGGCCUUCGGGUUGUAAACGCCUUUCGCUAGGGACGAAGCGUUUUGUGACGGUACCUGGAGAAGAAGCACCGGCUAACUACGUG
rnacentral:rRNA from 1 species